GUCGAGCGCAUCCUUCGGGAUGAGCGGCGGACGGGUGAGUAACGCGUGGGAAUGUGCCCUUCUCUACGGAAUAGCCACUGGAAACGGUGAGUAAUACCGUAUACGCCCUUAGGGGGAAAGAUUUAUCGGAGAAGGAUCAGCCCGCGUUAGAUUAGGUAGUUGGUGGGGUAACGGCCUACCAAGCCUACGAUCUAUAGCUGGUUUUAGAGGAUGAUCAGCCACACUGGGACUGAGACACGGCCCAGACUCCUACGGGAGGCAGCAGUAGGGAAUCUUGGACAAUGGGGGAAACCCUGAUCCAGCCAUGCCGCGUGAGUGAAGAAGGCCUUAGGGUCGUAAAGCUCUUUCGCCUGUGAUGAUAAUGACAGUAGCAGGUAAAGAAACCCCGGCUAACUCCGUGCCAGCAGCCGCGGUAAUACGGAGGGGGUUAGCGUUGUUCGGAAUUACUGGGCGUAAAGCGCGCGUAGGCGGAUUGGAAAGUUGGGGGUGAAAUCCCGGGGCUCAACCCCGGAACUGCCUCCAAAACUGCCAGUCUAGAGUUCGAGAGAGGUGAGUGGAACUCCAAGUGUAGAGGUGAAAUUCGUAGAUAUUUUGGAAAAACACCAGUGGCGAAGGCGGCUCACUGGCUCGAUACUGACGCUGAGGUGCGAAAGUGUGGGGAGCAAACAGGAUUAGAUACCCUGGUAGUCCACACCGUAAACGAUGAAUGCCAGUCGUCGGGUAGUAUACUAUUCGGUGACACACCUAACGGAUUAAGCAUUCCGCCUGGGG
rnacentral:rRNA from 1 species